AGCCUCUAAAAAGUGGACGAAACGCGUCAGACGAUGCUGGAAAUGUUGGCAAAUCUCGAGUCCUGUGGUCGUCGUGUUCAUCGCUGUUCUCUCGUCCUAUUUUGCAGUCAGAUUCACCGUUGUUGAAGAGCUGGGAAAGCUGCAGGCCCGUAUGCCGGAGCUGGAAGGAGACAAAGCUCUGCCUGUUGGGCUCCCUGGGCCAUCCGGACCUCCGGGAGAAAAGGGAGCCAUGGGGCCAGCUGGCCCUCUAGGAGAAAAGGGAGCCAUGGGGCCAGCUGGCCUUCCCGGAGAAAAGGGAGCCAUGGGGCCAGCUGGACAUCCCGGAGAAAAGGGCGCCAUUGGGCCAGCUGGACAUCCCGGAGAAAAGGGCACCA